GAGGAGCUGAGACCAGAGGGCAGCAGCUGGCGCGAGAGAAGCACAUUCGAAGAAGAAGCUUCUGAAAAUGAGAAUGCGAGAACGAAGCAGAAGACAAUGUAGUUUGGUUUGUCUGAUCGAUUUUCAACUGGACGAAGGAAGAGAGGUUGCAUAUCGGAAAAGGAUGGAGUCUCGCGCGCGCAGAUUAUUUUCUUCCUCGUGAGACUGAAAUCGGAAGGGAGAGGGCGCCGAAAUAGAUGGAGGAGGAAAAGAGAGCCUCGGCGCUGUCACUCGGUUCGAACUAGCCGGAGAUACGUAUACUGUCAUGCGGUCUAACACACCAAACACAAGCUCCAUCAACCAAGCUUUCUCACACACCAAACGCAAGUUCCAUCAACCAAGGAAUUACCGAGGAUUCCAGCAUGAAGAACAGCAGCACUGGAGACUGGAAAUAUGCAUUGCUGUUGCUUGUGAAUCAAGGCGCGGCAACACUAGCAUUCUCUGGACUUGGAACUUUCCUCAGUGAUUCUUACUGGGGCCGCUACUUAACCUGCACAAUCUUUCAGCCGAUUUUUGUUUUGGUAAUUUAGUUACAGCACUUUUAUAUCUAUAUAUGUGUAUAAUGUGUUCUCAACAUGUGC